AAUACACGUGUACAGCUUAAAAAAAAAAUCAAAGGGCAAAGAGUGAAGGCUGAAAGGCAGAGAUGCCAUUUUGGAAAAGUUUUUAUGGCGAGUAAGAUGCACCUCCAGUGCUCCAAGAGGGUAAAAAGCACUUGGGACAUGAAUGAAGUCAAUGACUCCUACUGACUUCAAUGGGCUUUGGAUCAGGACUUUGUAAGGUCAGAAGCUAUUGUUUGAUGCAUUAUCCAUUUGAAAACGGACAGGCCUGAGACUGUGACCAAGAGAGCUGACCCGGCAGAGGACCUGAAGUACUUUAAAUCUGCCAGGAUCACCAUGUGGAAGAUUGCUGACCACCUGGUUCCCUGAAGGUGUGAGUGACCUGGCAAAUUCCUGCAUUCCGUGUGAUGCCCUAACUAGUAACGUCAUACCCACCACAAAAGUCCACUGGAGGUAGUCGUGGGUAUUUGCAACAUAUGGGGCUGGAGCUGAAUGGCCGGUUAGCAACAAAUGGGAUAAAAAGCUGCAACCCAGACAGAGCAUGGGAGCUGCUGAAGAGGCUGGGAACCACCACAGGUAAUCUCCACAGCAUCAGAUGGGGAAGCUAUCCAGAGGGAUCCAGGAAACGGUGCCGUGUGGAAGACACCCACGAAGGCCAUAGUGUGGCAAAACGGCUUAUAAUGAAACCAAUGGAGUGAGGUAGGAGGACUGUUCUAAACAGGAAUGAAUUUGUUUAUAGACUUCUUCCAAGUGGCCCAAGACAAGACACUGUUAAAGAUCUGAGUGGCAGUUGUAUAACCAAAAUAAUAAUGUUCUUCUUUUUUAAUAAGAAAACCUGCGUGAGUGGAAACUUUUGGAAAUGAACUGCAGUCAUAGAAAUGCUUUAACUUUUGUGGGUGGGCAAAGGAAAUUCUGUUUAACUUUAUAAAUUAUUUUAAAAAAUGUCUUGGCCUCGGAAGCUACUGAACUCUGCUCCACACAGUAUCAAAGGAUUAUGGGUAUUACAAUGAGAGAUUAUGGAUUAUGGGUAUUAAAUGGAAAGAUUACUAGGAGACGCAUGCCACAGACAUGAAGAGGACCUUGAAGAUUAAGAGAUUUACAAGGAGUGGUACCAUUUCAGUCUCCCCUUCUUGGCUGGAUGUCUUCACAAAAGAAGAAAAACAAAUAUUUCUAGGUAAAAAAUAGGUUGCUCCUUUGUACUGUUGCAGUCAAUGUUUUAUCCCACAUUCUAGUGGUUCAAAUUUGGAUCAGUGAGUUUGGCUCAGGCUAAAGUCACCUGCAACAUAGACCUAUGCUUACAUUCUUACAAGAGGGAAAGCUUCAAUCUUAACACCCCCAUCAAUUUGCUAUGUACUGACAAAGUCAUCAGUAUUACAUAACAGAAAUACCAGGGGAGAAGCAGAAAAAUGAUUUGGAGAACAUUAUCUUUGGGGAAAAAACACUCUUAAAAAUAUUUCAAAGAUUAUUUUCAUCCACCUGAAAUUUCCAUGACUCUAAAUACAUUUGAAGUCAAUUGGUGAUUCACCCAUCAGCACCUUUCUAAGACAUACAGGACUGCACUCAUGAGUGUAUAUUUAAUUGGUACUUCAAGGGUCAUCCAGUUUUAGGUCAUAAAUGUACAUUUUAUUUUUUAAUAAUAAAGGUAUAUUAAUUUGAGUUACAGGAUCAGCUAGCGAUUAAAACCUUAGUGUGCGAAGCACUGUACAUACACCCAGUAAAACAGUCCCUGCCCUAAUGAUCUUACAGGUCUAAACAGACAAUGCAGACAAACAGUGGAAGAAAGGCAGUAUUGUUAUGCUUAUUUUACAUUGGGGAACUGAAACACAGAGAGAUUAAAUGAGCUGCCUGAGGUCACCUAGGAAAGCUGGAUUGGAGCCCAGAUCACUUGAGUACCAGUCCAUUGCUGAAUCCUGCCUCCUCCAUCCCCUUCUUUCUUUCUUUUCGAAAAAGUCUGGAUGGGAGUGUUUUUAACAUAACCUAAUAUGAUCGGGAUUGUUUCUUGAAUUUUUUUUCCCUUUCAACACACACACUUUUUAAUGCAGUGACGUGAUACUUUCAAACCCAACAUGUUAUGUACAUGAAAACGAGUAAAUUAAAUGGCUGGAAAUGAAAGUGUGGAACCAUUUCAGUUCAAAAGUCCAAGCUGAGUGAAAUGCAAAAAUUAAACUAACAACAUAGGGCCCAUCCUGCAUCCAUUCCCCCUGCUCAUCUUCCCUAGAGGCACCAUUGAAGCUAGUGGAACACUUUAUGGAUGAAAUUCAUUCCUGUGCAGACAACCAGCAAAAGGGCAAGGCACCACUUGAUCUCCUGACUUACUCUCAAAAAAGGGAGCAGGAAGCACAUAGAGCAGAGGCGGCUUUCUGCAGAGGAGUGAAUUUCACUCAUAGUGGGUAGGGCUUGCAGGACUGGUCCCACAGAUUGUGAAAAGUAAAUGAGGCAUUGAUGAUUCUUUCUGUUUUAAUCACAUAAGGAGGUAUUAGUAAUA